rnacentral:rRNA from 1 species
UACGGAGGGUGCGAGCGUUGUCCGGAAUCACUGGGCGUAAAGGGCGCGUAGGCGGCAUGCCAAGCGUGUGGUGAAAGCCCGGGGCUCAACCCCGGGUCGGCCGUGCGGACUGGCGUGCUCGAGCACUGUAGGGGCGGGUGGAAUUCCCGGUGUAGUGGUGGAAAUGCGUAGAGUAUCGGGAGGAACACCAGUGGCGAAGGCGGGUCUCUGGGCCGAUACUGACGCUGAGGAGCGAAAGCGUGGGGAGCGAACAGG